rnacentral:rRNA from 1 species
AUUGAACGCUGGCGGCAUGCCUUACACAUGCAAGUCGAACGGCAGCGCGGGCUUCGGCCUGGCGGCGAGUGGCGAACGGGUGAGUAAUAUAUCGGAACGUGCCCACGAGUGGGGGAUAACUAGUCGAAAGAUUAGCUAAUACCGCAUACGCCCUGUGGAGGAAAGCGGGGGACCUUCGGGCCUCGUGCUGGUGGAGCGGCCGAUAUCUGAUGAGCUAGUUGGUGGGGUAAGAGCCCACCAAGGCGACGAUCAGUAGCUGGUCUGAGAGGACGACCAGCCACACUGGGACUGAGACACGGCCCAGACUCCUACGGGAGGCAGCAGUGGGAAAUUUUGGACAAUGGGGGCAACCCUGAUCCAGCAAUGCCGCGUGUGUGAAGAAGGCCUUCGGGUUGUAAAGCACUUUUGUCCGGGAAGAAAUCCCCUAGGAGAAUACCCUGGGGGGAUGACGGUACUGGAAGAAUCAGCACCGGCUAACUACGUGCCAGCAGCCGCAGUAAAAC